rnacentral:tRNA from 1 species
UAUAUUUUAGUGUAUGGGGCACCGUAAUUUUUGAAAUUACUAGAUAUAGUUUAAUUCUAUAAAAUAUAA